rnacentral:rRNA from 1 species
AACGAACGCUGGCGGCAGGCUUAACACAUGCAAGUCGAACGCGUGCAGCAAUGCACGAGUGGCGCACGGGUGAGUAACGAGUGGAUAUCUGCCUUUUGGUUCGGAAUAACCCCGGGAAACUGGGGCUAAUACCGGAUGGUUCCUACGGGAUAAAGAUUUAUCGCCAAAAGAUGAGUCCGCGUCCGAUUAGCUAGUUGGUGAGGUAAUGGCUCACCAAGGCGACGAUCGGUAGCUGGUCUGAGAGGACGAUCAGCCACACUGGGACUGAGACACGGCCCAGACACCGAGGGGCGGCAGUGGUGGGUAAUAUCGGACGUUGGGGGCCCCGCGGCUCCAGCCAGGGCGGUUGGGGGAGAAGGGCGUUGGGGUUGUAAAGUUUUUUGGGGGGGGGAGAGGAGGGCGGUGCCCGAAGAAUAAGCGCCGGAUAACUCGGGGCCAGGAGCGGAGUAAUAGAUGCAAAGCAAACUUCUAAAC